CGGGGCGUAGCGCAGGUGGCUAGCGCGUCUGUUUUGGGAGCAGAAGGUCGCAGGUUCAAGUCCUGCCGCCCCGA
rnacentral:tRNA from 1 species